rnacentral:rRNA from 1 species
AUUAAACGCUGGCGGCAUGCCUUACACAUGCAAGUCGAACGGCAGCACGGGGCAACCUGGUGGCGAGUGGCGAACGGGUGAGUAAAGCAUCGGAACGUGCCCUGGAGUGGGGGAUAACGUAGCGAAAGUUACGCUAAUACCGCAUAUUCUGUGAGCAGGAAAGCAGGGGAUCGAAAGACCUUGCGCUCUGGGAGCGGCCGAUGUCGGAUUAGCUAGUUGGUGGGGUAAAGGCCUACCAAGGCGACGAUCCGUAGCGGGUCUGAGAGGAUGAUCCGCCACACUGGGACUGAGACACGGCCCAGACUCCUACGGGAGGCAGCAGUGGGGAAUUUUGGACAAUGGGCGGAAGCCUGAUCCAGCCAUGCCGCGUGAGUGAAGAAGGCC